CAUAGCUGGGUAGCUAAGUCGGGACGGGAUAAACGCUGAAAGCAUCUAAGCGUGAAGCCUCCUUCAAGAUGAGAUUUCCCAUAGCGUAAGCUAGUAAGACCCCUUGAAGACUACAAGGUUGAUAGGUUAGAGGUGUAAGUGUGGCAACAUAUUUAGCUGACUGAUACUAAUAGGUCGAGGGCUUGACCAAUAA
rnacentral:rRNA from 1 species